GGCAUCUGGUCUUUAGAGCAAACUUCAAAGCCAUCGGGGCCAGCAAAUCCUCCUGCUGG
rnacentral:tRNA from 13 species